rnacentral:rRNA from 1 species
UACGUAGGGUGCGAGCGUUAAUCGGAAUUACUGGGCGUAAAGCGUGCGCAGGCGGUUUUGUAAGCCAGAUGUGAAAUCCCCGGGCUCAACCUGGGAAUGGCAUUUGGGACUGCAAGGCUGGAGUACGGCAGAGGAGACUGGAAUUCCUGGUGUAGCAGUGAAAUGCGUAGAGAUCAGGAGGAAUACCGAUGGCGAAGGCAGGUCUCUGGGCUGAUACUGACGCUCAUGCACGAAAGCCAGGGGAGCGAACGGG